rnacentral:lncRNA from 1 species
CCCUCACUAAAUUGUAAUACUCUUAUUACAAGCCACUUUGUUAUAACUCUAUUACAAAGACUUUACAACAUGACUAACUCUAGCUAAGACUCAAACAUACUGGUUUGAUGUUUACAAAUGGGUUCCAAUAGAAUGCUUAUAAACAAGCUAGAUAGUAAUUACAAUUAAAGAACUAUUACAAAGUUACAACUCAACUAACGACAUAUAAUAACUCUAUAUGGGAACUGGUCCGUAGUUGCUUUGUUCUUUGUUCUUGAAGCACUUGAAACUUGCUGGCUCAAUGGUCACGUGAGUGAGUUUGUCAAAUGUUCAAGUAUUUUGUUUUACCUCCCUUGAAUGCAUAUAUACAUGUGUGAUAUCACUUAUAAUGAUGUAAGAAAGGUAGGUAAAAAGUCUUCCCUAGAAAGUUGACUGCAACACUGUUUCUGCACUGUAACGUGUGUAGGCAGCAACUUUCCAACAGGAAAGUUGACUUUGUAUAGUCUCCUCAGGUACUGGUAGGGACCUGUUCCCUCAGUUAUUCCUUCCACUCUGAAGAUUUGAAUCAUAACGCAAGCUGGAUCCCAAAUUGGAACCUUAUGAUCUUAAGGUCUUGUAAAUGUGUAACAGGUUCCUUAUCUGGUUCUGGAUAGUAAGUUUGUUAGAUCAUCAAUACAUAAGGUAAAGUACUUAUGACCAAAGUACUUGUAACCUAUGAGUUCUAUAAUUGUAAGAACUCAUGGGAUGAUGAUCGUAAGCCGUGAGUUCGAGUUAUUCAACUUGUACUGGACUAUUAUGUGGGAAAUUUUGUGUUGUUGUUGGAUUGCAUGUUUUUCUACUAUUUUAGGGAGUUUUGAAGGAGGAAGGGUGUGGAGAAAUACCACAUAAAUUCAAGGUGGGGGCUGGUAAUCCGUCAUAAUAUUUUUGGGAUAUUUGAUACUACUACGGUGGUCGUUUUGUAUAUGAAGAGAUUAGGGUGUUUUUGGCUGUUUUGUAGUAUUUUGUGGUAUAUAUAAGGUGAGAAAAUAAUGCGAUAGUUGUACAUUUUGUAACUUAAUGAUAGUAUUAUUAUCGUUAUUGUAGAUUAAGAUGCGAAGAAACGAGGUCAACGUGGUUAUUAGAGUAAGAUACAUUAAGGCUAAACCUUUCCUUCAUUUUGGCAAGAUCCUGUAACUACAUGUGUUUGAUAACGAGAAAUAAAGAGAAGUUCAUAUUCCUGAACUUGUGUACAUUAUCCUAGUCUCAUAAGUUAAAGUUGUCACACCUCCUUUUUCCACCCUGAAAGGGGUAUAAGAGAGUUUUUUCAAUUAAAGUGACAAUAACCGAAACGGGAUUAUUUAUUUAAGUUCAAAGUCACCACUUGGGAUAAUUUAUGGUGUCCCAAGUCACCAGUUUAAAAUCCCGAAUCGAGGAAGUUUGACUAUGUUUUACAGUUCGCGAAACACAGAAAUUCGGGUAAGGAAUUCUAUUAACCCAGGAGAAGGUGUUAGGCAUUCCCGGGUUCUGUGGUUUUAGCACGGUUGCUCAACUAUUAUUAUUUGGCCUAAAUAUCUAAUUAAUUACAUUUUUAUACCUAUUGUGCAUUUUUACCUUUUCAAUUGCUUUUAAUUAUUUAUGGAAUUAUUCUGGAACAAGUUGCGAUUAUUGUACAUUUGUUUGUUUGGUACACAUUGCGAAUCGUAUCACGGGACCGUACCCAUGAUCUACAACAUGUUUAAUUUAAUAAUAUUAUUAGAAGUUUUGGUCGGGUCACAUAAAAUGUGCACCCGAAUUUGAAAAUUAUGUAUUACAACUACGUCACGGGAACCGUACCCGUAGCUAUGAUGAUUUAUAUUGUGCGCCUAAAGCAAACUAUAUAUGUUUAUGAAUAUUAACGGCCUAAAACAUGCUACUAACAAAUAUAGGAAAGUAACAAAGCGAUAGACAAUUAAAAUCUCAAUUUCACAAACUUUCACACCCGAGCUCCUUUAAUCUAAUUUGAUGUAGUUCAGUUGAUGAAUAGCAACCCAAUUUCUAUACUGUGAUAAAAUCAUGUUCAGCUAUAACCAAUUCGAGUGGCAUGCGAGUAGAUAACUACACGAACAAACUCAAAACCGGAGAUAAUAACCAAACAAAUCACAGAAUCAAAUCGCCAAACAAGCAAUUAACAUUCAGCUAUAAUAAAAUGAGUAGAGGAUUUAAGAGUUGAACCUCAGUGAGAGCGAGGACCUUUUUUACUUUAAUUAGAUAUAAGCUGAAUGUAAUCUUUGAACUCGAACCGGAACUACCACGAGCCGACAAACCCAAGCACACUCCGAUUCAAAAUUCCAACACAAACUUAACGGCAUAGCUCAAACCAGCAAAUUUAAUUGGUAAAAACUCAAGUAGACAUAAAUAACCAAAUCUGAAGAUGAAGUUUCAAUCAAUUGAUAUGCGAAAAAAACAAAACACAACUGAUGAAGCACAAAAAGCAGCCGCGAAAUUCGGUAACAAGCAUCAACAGAAAUCUGAACUUCGAAGGCACUUGGUAGACAACAAUAAUUCGAACCAAAGAAAACUUGGAAACAAAAGCUCUGUUAAGAAGUUCUUCAAUAUAAAAGUGGAAAGGAAUCAGUAAAUACACAACCCUUGAUUCCGAAAUCCAAUGAGAAAGAACAACAAGGUAUAAGAACAAAAUUUUUCAAUCGGAACUCGACCUAGAACCUCGAAUUUUUGCCGUGUUCCUCCUCCUCUCGUUCUCCACUCUUUCUCGUUUCUGUGUGUGUGUGGUUGUGCGACUGUCUAUGUGUUUUUUGGUUUUUUGGUGUUCUGUCUGUUUCCUCUAUUGUGUGUAUGCGUCUGUGACUACGAUUGAGCUUCCAUUUAUGUUGCCGAGUUUGAAGAAGUGAGAACGAGAAGGGUGAAGUUCAGGGGUUAAGGGUGAUUGUUUGGCUAUGCGGCGUGGUGAGGGCUGACGGCGGUGAGGUGAAGAGAGGAGGAGAGUGGCGUUGGAUUAGGGUCUAAGGUUCUCUCAUGGCUGCUUCUUUUUUUUUGUGAAGAAGAUGAUAUCCCAGGUCUCUUCUUUUGAUCAGAAACUGUUGUUGGGUUCAAGACUAGGGUCUUUUUUGGUCGUUCAUGGAGCUUGGGAUUUUUUGGGGUUGAAGAUGGAUGCUCCUCCAUUUGUAUCUAAUGGCUCUAGGACUAUUUAUAUCAAAUUCAGAGUCGCAACUUGGAAUAAUUUAUGGUAUCCCAAGUCACCGGUUUAAAAUCCCGAAUCGAGAAAAGUUGACUCUUAUUUAUGAUUUGCGAACACAAAAAUCCGGGUAAGGAAUUCUGUUAACCCAGGAGAAGGUGUUAGGCAUUCCUGGGUUCCGUGUUUUUAACACGGUCACUCAACUAUUAAAAUUGGCCUAAUUAUUUGAUUAAUUACAUAUUUUAAACCUACGUGCAUUUUUAACUUUCUAACCACUUUUAGUGUUUAUGGAAUUAUUCACGAUCGUCAUACACUUGCGAACCGUGUCACAUGAAAUGCACCCGCGAUUCACAAGAUGUUUCAUUCUAUUAUUAUUAUUUAAAAUUAUGGUAGGGUCACAUGAAAUGCACCCUCGAAUUGAGAUUUACGCAUCGUGACCAUGCCACGGGAACCGUACUCAUAGCCACGAUAAUUCAUUUACACGCCAAAAAGUUGGCCUACCCAUAUGGUGACGGCCUAAGCAUACACCUAACGAUGGACAAAUGAUAAAGUAAUAAAUAUUCUAAUUCCAAUUUACCUCAUUUCGUAUGUCCCACGGCCCUUUGUAUCUAUAAUUCCAUAAUUACCUAAGCAUCUAGGUAGACAAAAAUCGGCACAAAUAAUCAUUCAAGUAAAUCAAAUGAGAGCAUUUCAUGAGGAAACCAUUCAAGCUAAGAACCAGUCACGAGAAUUUAAGGCACAAAGUACGUAAUUCCAAAUAUUGACUUAUCAUUUUCAAAAAUAGACUAAUCUUGUAGACCGAGCAAGAACAAAUUAAUACACAACACAUAUAAUAGUAAUUAACACUGUCACAUUUAACCCAAACGCAAUCACGAUUUAAUAGAAAAUCAUUAAUAAAAUAAAGAUCUAGAGUUUAAGAGAAGAGAAGUGGACCUUUAAUUAGCUUUCCCAAUAAAAUGUUCCUUCGGCAAAACUUUACAGCAUUGGCUAUUUGACAUGAGAAAAGACAGAAAUCGACGCCGGAAAAACUCGUACACAAAUCCAACUGAACCGCGAAGUUGUCCGGAAACCUCAGACUACGACCUUCGACGAACUCGGAACUCCACGGAAAACUCGAAUUAAAGACAAACAAUGAAACCAAAUGAUUCUCUAACGGUGACUAACUGGAGACCAUUUUCAAAAUCGAAUGGAACCUCCUUGCCUCCGACUAGAAAUAAUAGAAAAAAUCCAGCUAUGACAUGAUGGUAAGCGCAACAGAGUUGCUGAUUUUGAGUGUGCGACAAAGAUACUCGGUGGUGGAAUUUGAGCGACACUCACGGAGGUCAAAAUAGUUCCAUUGAAGCUAUUAAUCUAAAAGGGGAACGAUGGGUUCCAUUCCCCUUUUUUACACUUGAGGAUGUAGGAUUUAUACGAGGGAGUAGCUUAGAGAGAAAGGUCGACCGGUGAGAGAAUCAUUGUGUGUGUGUGUGUGGCCACUGAUUUUGGUAGUGGAGGCCGUUCUCCUCUCUUGGGGGUGGUCUGUCGCCUUUUGCUCAUGUGGGUUUGGGUGGAGAUGAAGAAAGGGGGGUGACGGGCAUGAGUUAGGGUGCUGCUGGAGAAAGUAAUGUGGUAGGUGUUGUGUGGAGUAGUGUGAGGUCUAUUGUUUUAAUGGAGAAGAAGAAGUUCAGGGGGAGGGGGGUCUCUUGUUGAAAAAACGGCUGAAGCUUCAAGACUAGGUCAGGUCUGUUGGGUUUUGUUUGGAGAAGAAGGGUCCGUUGGCCUGGUCGUUUGAAGGUGGCUGACUGAAGAUGGGGUCUUCGCCGGUGGCUGGGUUACAUGUUUCUCUAGGGUUUGUUUGUGAAGAAGAUGAUGCUUCUCUUCUCGAAAAACGGUUGUUGUCCCUAGGGUUAAGUCUUAAGGAAUAAGAAGAAGGGAUCUUUUUUUUAAGUAUCUUUCUAGGGUUUUAGGGGUAUUGGGCUUAGGACUUAUGGACUAGGUCCGAAAAUUAGGCCUAAAAAUGGGUUGUUUGAGCCCAAAUAGUAUUCUUUUUCCUUGAACAAGACUAAAAAAAUACUACCUCAUUUACUAAUUAAUCCUACUUAAGUAAAUAACUAUGAAAAUUAAACUAAC